rnacentral:piRNA from 1 species
UCCUUCAGUCUCUGCUGUACACAUUGUC